UACGGAGGAUGCAAGCGUUAUCCGGAAUGAUUGGGCGUAAAGGGUCCGCAGGUGGCAGUGUAAGUCUGCUGUCAAAGAAUGAGGCUUAACCUUAUCAAGGCAGUGGAAACUACACAGCUAGAGUACGGUCGGGGUAGAAGGAAUUCCUGGUGUAGCGGUGAAAUGCGUAGAGAUCAGGAAGAACACCGGUGGCGAAAGCGUUCUGCUAGACCUGUACUGACACUGAGGGACGAAAGCUAGGGGAGCGAAAGGG
rnacentral:rRNA from 1 species